UUAUUCCGUCAUAUUGUCUCUGGAUUAAAUGUAUUGCUAAUGUCACUUUUAUAAACAAAUAAAAGUUAAAACUACAAUAUUAUUGUAAAUUUGCAAUAAUUGCAAAUUCCAAUUAUUGGAAGCUGCAAAAGGGACAUUAGAAUGUCAGCAAGGUCGGAACAAUUUUCGAUUUAAGUGGAAUUUCCGGAAGGUGCAAAGUGAAUAUAUGAAUUUUAAUUGCAUGUUUAAAUUAAUUAUGGAUUUGACCUCACAACUAAUCUGCAUAAUGAAGAAGCAACAUAUUUUGUUACCGCUUAGAAGAAACAAUAGAAAUAGUACUGUGGAUUGAUAAAUAAAGAGAGAAAAUAAGGUUGACUAGAAGUUGAUAAGGAAUAGAAUGAUAGUCCAAGGAAUUAAAAAACAAUAGAAAAAAAACGUAGACUAGUGUGAACACUGAAAUUAGAGUUUGAUUUAAGCUUUAAUUAGGUUUGGUGUUUGUGCUUGAACAUUUUUAAAGUCAAUUUGUAAGCAGAUUUAUAUAUAAGUGUAGAUUUUAUUAGUGAUUUGCUACUAGUUGGAAUUAUCUCUGUCUAUGUCCAACAAACAAUUUCAGUUUAAGUUAGAGUCAUAAAGGUUGAUUGUUUAUAAUAUAUUUAUACUUUUAGAAAGUGAGAAUUGAAAAACAGCAAGUACUCAAUGAAAUGAAAAGAGGGAUUAAUAAAAAUUAUAAAAUAGAAACUUAGUCUGGUAUGAAAUUAUAACCCUUAAUCAACCUUUGAUUCCAUAUUGAUGCUCCAACAUCUUAGAUAUAAAUUUAAGUUUGAUGCUGUUUUUAAGUUAAUAUUUAUGUCUAUUAACUUUUGGUUAUAUCAGUGAUUUGCUACUAGUUAAUAUGUUUAAGUAAGAAAUGAAUAAACAUUGUAUGUUAUGUAUUUGUCAGUUUUAUUUUUGGUAAUUUACCUAUGUCUUCUUUGGUAGGAAAAGCCAUUAAAGUGGUUCACAAUAUUAGUUUAUUUUACAAGAAUAUACAGAUAAUGCAUAUAUGAAUGACCCGUACCUACUAAUAGUUAGGAAUAUUAA